UAAUUUUUAGAGCUUAAAAAAUAAGAAUUUACAUCAGUAAAAAAAGAAAGAAAGAGGCUUUUCUGAAUUCUCAUCUUGUAAACGCAGAGCAGAGAGUCAUACCUGGAAAUCGAUCCAGCAAAUUUUGCCUCCAAAUCAAAAUCACCAAAAUCCCAGAUAUCAAUUUCCAAAAGAAAUGGCCUCUGCUACCACAGACCCACCAACCCUUUCAACACUCUUUGCAGCCAUUGACAUGGGCACAAAUUCGUUCAAGAUGCUCAUAGUUCGUGCAUACCCAAAUGGCAAAUUCUUCACCAUAGACCAAUUCAAAGAGCCUGUGGUUCUUGGCCGUGAUACCAGCACAUCAUCAACAACAACCCCUUUUACACUUUCACAUCACUCCCAGCUCCUUGCCCUUGAAGCCCUUAAAAGAUUUCAGAACAUCUUGAAAUCCUACAAAAUCAACAAAACCCAUGUCCGCUGUGUUGCCACUGCAGCUGUACGUGAAGCUGUGAACAAAGUUGGGUUUUUGAAAUGUGUAAGGGAAGAGGUUGGUUUAGAGAUAGAUGUGUUGCCUGGUGAACAGGAAGCUAGGCUUGAGUAUCUGGGUAUGCUUCAGUUUUUUCCAAUAUAUGAGAAAUUGGUGCUGGGUGUGGAUAUUGGAGGUGGGUCUACUGAGUUUGUAAUUGGGAAGCAAGGAAAAGUCAUUUUUGGUGCUUCAUUGAAGCUGGGACAUGUGAAUUUGACCCAAAAGUUUGGGAACAAUGAAGAAAAUGUUGCGCAUAUGAGGGAGCACAUUAGAUUGGUUGUUCAAGAAUCUGGGUUGGUUGACAAGAUUAAAGAUUGUGGCUUUGAGGCUGUUGUUGGAUCUUCGGGUACUAUAAAGGCAAUUGAAAAAGCAUCCCUUUAUGGGUAUGCCAAUGUGAGCAAUAUGCUCCAGGUCGGGAUUAUGGUUUCUUUUGGGGACAGUAAGAGGGAUUGGAAGUUAAGUAGAGGAGAACUGAAGGGUGUUGUUGAGAGUUUAUGUGGUGGAGGAGAGGCAGAGAAGAAUAGGAGGGAGAAGUUCUUUAAAAUGCGGUCCGAGUUUAUCGUUGCCGGGGCUGUGCUAUUGGAGGAGAUAUUUGAGGUACUUGGCAUUGAGGAAAUGGAGGUUUCUGGGUAUGCAUUGGCAGAAGGUGUUAUUGCAGAAACUUUAGCUAAGGUUAAUGAUUAUGAUUUGAAUGCCAAUGCAAAGUGGUCGUCUAUUGUGCGGCUCGCAAUGAGAUUUAAUAGCAACAAGAGGAUGAGAGCGGCUUCUCAGUGUGCUAGCAUUGCAAAGGAAAUUUUUGAAUGUUUAAGAAAAUGUGAUGAACUUGCUGGCAAUCAAGUUGCUGUCUCCCUAGAUGACAAGGAUCUUGAGUAUCUUGAAGCAUCAUGUUUGCUUCACAAUAUUGGGCUUUCCAUCGAGAAAAAGGGUUACCAUAAGCAUUCUUAUUCUAUUAUCAUGAAUGGUGGCCAUCUUCAAGGUUACAGUACUGAGGAGGUCAAGCUGAUAGCACUACUUGCAAGACACCACAGGAAGAAAUUACCAAACUUUGGUCAUGUUUCCUUUAAGGAGUUUCCAAUAGAGGUAAAAAAGAAAUUCAGAUUUCUAUGUGCAAUUAUCCGUAUUUCAGUUGCACUGCAACAACAUCGACGCAUUGAUUUCCAACAAAUAGAAUUUUCACACUCUUACGAAGGUUUUAAACUGGCAUGCGGUGGUGUAAAAGUUCAAAAUUCCCCACCUUGCAUUCUAGAGCCUUUAGCUGAGGAUAUUGGAGAUGACCUAAGGCAAGAGUUAGAACACUUUAAGAUGGUAUUCCAUGAAGAACUACUCCUCCUUGUUCCUUCAAGUGUUUCAGGAUGAUCUGAGAGAUAAGGAUAUUUUCACACAAGGUGUCACUUGAUAUGUCUUGAAAAAGUUCAUAUAACCCAUAAAUUCAGCAUAUACAAGGCUUUGGCAUGGAAGGACAGUCAUGUUGCCCAAGUUGCAGGAUAGCUCGUGUGAACCAUUGAUGUGGAGCUCAUGGGUUGAAUUGUGGUGUUGAUACAGACUCAUUUGUCCCAGACGAUGUGGUUCAACUGAAACAGAGCACAAGCUGGAGAAUUGGAGGUAUUGUCCAUUAAAUUGUAAUAGUUUUAAUCUCAGAAUUUCAAUGUGUAACAGAAAGAGUUGUAUGUCCUUUUAGUCUAUAACAGAUAAAAUUUACGUACAAGCAAAAGGGAAAGAUAAAUGAAAAUCUUGGAUCUUUUUUUAUUUU